CGAUGAAGGACGUUACUAACGACGAUAUGCUUUGGGGAGCUGUAAGUAAGCUUUGAUCCAGAGAUUUCCGAAUGGGGAAACCCAGCAUGAGUUAUGUCAUGUUAUCGAUAUGUGAAUACAUAGCAUAUCAGAAGGCACACCCGGAGAACUGAAACAUCUUAGUACCCGGAGGAAGAGAAAGAAAAUUCGAUUCCCUUAGUAGCGGCGAGCGAAACGGGAAGAGCCCAAACCAACAAGCUUGCUUGUUGGGGUUGUAGGACACUCUAUACGGAGUUACAAAGGACGACAUUAGACGAAUCAUCUGGAAAGAUGAAUCAAAGAAGGUAAUAAUCCUGUAGUCGAAAAUGUUGUCUCUCUUGAGUGGAUCCUGAGUACGACGGAGCACGUGAAAUUCCGUCGGAAUCUGGGAGGACCAUCUCCUAAGGCUAAAUACUCUCUAGUGACCGAUAGUGAACCAGUACCGUGAGGGAAAGGUGAAAAGCACCCCGGAAGGGGAGUGAAAUAGAACCUGAAACCGUGUGCUUACAAGUAGUCAGAGCCCGUUAAUGGGUGAUGGCGUGCCUUUUGUAGAAUGAACCGGCGAGUUACGAUUUGAUGCAAGGUUAAGCAGUAAAUGUGGAGCCGUAGCGAAAGCGAGUCUGAAUAGGGCGUUUAGUAUUUGGUCGUAGACCCGAAACCAGGUGAUCUACCCUUGGUCAGGUUGAAGUUCAGGUAACACUGAAUGGAGGACCGAACCGACUUACGUUGAAAAGUGAGCGGAUGAACUGAGGGUAGCGGAGAAAUUCCAAUCGAACCUGGAGAUAGCUGGUUCUCUCCGAAAUAGCUUUAGGGCUAGCCUCAAGUGAUGAUUAUUGGAGGUAGAGCACUGUUUGGACGAGGGGCCCCUCUCGGGUUACCGAAUUCAGACAAACUCCGAAUGCCAAUUAAUUUAACUUGGGAGUCAGAACAUGGGUGAUAAGGUCCGUGUUCGAAAGGGAAACAGCCCAGACCACCAGCUAAGGUCCCAAAAUAUAUGUUAAGUGGAAAAGGAUGUGGCGUUGCCCAGACAACUAGGAUGUUGGCUUAGAAGCAGCCAUCAUUUAAAGAGUGCGUAAUAGCUCACUAGUCGAGUGACACUGCGCCGAAAAUGUACCGGGGCUAAACAUAUUACCGAAGCUGUGGAUUGUCCUUUGGACAAUGGUAGGAGAGCGUUCUAAGGGCGUUGAAGCAUGAUCGUAAGGACAUGUGGAGCGCUUAGAAGUGAGAAUGCCGGUGUGAGUAGCGAAAGACGGGUGAGAAUCCCGUCCACCGAUUGACUAAGGUUUCCAGAGGAAGGCUCGUCCGCUCUGGGUUAGUCGGGUCCUAAGCUGAGGCCGACAGGCGUAGGCGAUGGAUAACAGGUUGAUAUUCCUGUACCACCUAUAAUCGUUUUAAUCGAUGGGGGGACGCAGUAGGAUAGGCGAAGCGUGCGAUUGGAUUGCACGUCUAAGCAGUAAGGCUGAGUAUUAGGCAAAUCCGGUACUCGUUAAGGCUGAGCUGUGAUGGGGAGAAGACAUUGUGUCUUCGAGUCGUUGAUUUCACACUGCCGAGAAAAGCCUCUAGAUAGAAAAUAGGUGCCCGUACCGCAAACCGACACAGGUAGUCAAGAUGAGAAUUCUAAGGUGAGCGAGCGAACUCUCGUUAAGGAACUCGGCAAAAUGACCCCGUAACUUCGGGAGAAGGGGUGCUCUUUAGGGUUAACGCCCAGAAGAGCCGCAGUGAAUAGGCCCAAGCGACUGUUUAUCAAAAACACAGGUCUCUGCUAAACCGUAAGGUGAUGUAUAGGGGCUGACGCCUGCCCGGUGCUGGAAGGUUAAGAGGAGUGGUUAGCUUCUGCGAAGCUACGAAUCGAAGCCCCAGUAAACGGCGGCCGUAACUAUAACGGUCCUAAGGUAGCGAAAUUCCUUGUCGGGUAAGUUCCGACCCGCACGAAAGGCGUAACGAUUUGGGCACUGUCUCAACGAGAGACUCGGUGAAAUCAUAGUACCUGUGAAGAUGCAGGUUACCCGCGACAGGACGGAAAGACCCCGUGGAGCUUUACUGUAGCCUGAUAUUGAAAUUCGGCACAGCUUGUACAGGAUAGGUAGGAGCCUUUGAAACGUGAGCGCUAGCUUACGUGGAGGCGCUGGUGGGAUACUACCCUAGCUGUGUUGGCUUUCUAACCCGCACCACUUAUCGUGGUGGGAGACAGUGUCAGGCGGGCAGUUUGACUGGGGCGGUCGCCUCCUAAAAGGUAACGGAGGCGCUCAAAGGUUCCCUCAGAAUGGUUGGAAAUCAUUCAUAGAGUGUAAAGGCAUAAGGGAGCUUGACUGCGAGACCUACAAGUCGAGCAGGGUCGAAAGACGGACUUAGUGAUCCGGUGGUUCCGCAUGGAAGGGCCAUCGCUCAACGGAUAAAAGCUACCCCGGGGAUAACAGGCUUAUCUCCCCCAAGAGUUCACAUCGACGGGGAGGUUUGGCACCUCGAUGUCGGCUCAUCGCAUCCUGGGGCUGUAGUCGGUCCCAAGGGUUGGGCUGUUCGCCCAUUAAAGCGGUACGCGAGCUGGGUUCAGAACGUCGUGAGACAGUUCGGUCCCUAUCCGUCGUGGGCGUAGGAAAUUUGAGAGGAGCUGUCCUUAGUACGAGAGGACCGGGAUGGACAUACCUCUGGUGUACCAGUUGUCGUGCCAACGGCAUAGCUGGGUAGCUAUGUGUGGACGGGAUAAGUGCUGAAAGCAUCUAAGCAUGAAGCCCCCCUCAAGAUGAGAUUUCCCAACUUCGGUUAUAAGAUCCCUCAAAGAUGAUGAGGUUAAUAGGUUCGAGGUGGAAGCAUGGUGACAUGUGGAGCUGACGAAUACUAAUCGAUCGAAGACUUAAUCAA
rnacentral:rRNA from 1 species